CAGAGUUGCAAGACUCCCUAAACCAUUGUGAACCUACCUUCUACCGUUGCUUCGGCGGGCGGGCCAGCGCCCCCCCCGGCCCCCCGCGGGCGCCCGCCGGAGGAUACCCAAACUCUUGACAUUAGUGGCCUCUCUGAGUAUUCUUUACUGAAUAAGUCA
rnacentral:misc_RNA from 1 species